rnacentral:lncRNA from 1 species
CUUUGCUAACCUCUUCCCCUCAGCCUACAGCGGCGUGAACGAGCGCACGUUCUUGGCAGUGAAGCCCGACGGCGUGCAGCGGCGGCUGGUGGGCGAGAUCGUGCGUCGCUUUGAAAGGAAGGGCUUCAAGCUGGUGGCACUGAAGCUAGUGCAGGCCUCCGAAGAGCUACUGCGGGAGCAUUAUGUCGAGCUGCGGGAGAGACCUUUCUACAGCCGAUUAGUUAAAUACAUGGGCUCUGGUCCCGUGGUGGCCAUGGAAUGUGAUUCAUGGCAGUGAUUCGGUGGAAAGUGCUCAGAGAGAGAUCGCUCUUUGGUUCCGUGAGGAUGAGCUUCUGUGCUGGGAGGACAGCGCGGGACACUGGCUAUAUGAGUAGACGCUAAAGUCAACAUUACCAAUCUGGAGGUUGUUGGUCUUCUGUGAUCUUCACAGUGACAGUGCUAUGUGGGUGCAGGUCCACCCAACCCAGUCUGUCCAGGGGCAACCACUUCCACAUCCCACCCUCUAUUUCCUUUCAUAAUAAACCGCAGAAAACCCUU